UCAACAAGACUCUGCACACCUGUGUGUAUAUCCUCCUUCUUGACGCACAGCCUUUCCGCUCCUGGGCUUUCUCCGUCUCUUUGGUCGCCCCCCCCCCCACCAGCAGUCUGCAGCUGGCUCCUCCUCAUCUCCCCCAUCUCUAGGCACUGAAGUGCUUUAGCUUGUGUGCUCAUUUCCCACUGGCUGUUUGCAUCCUCACGGUCUGAUCUCCCUCUACCCGGAAGGCAUUUGCACUCAAAACCUGUUCACUACAGUUCAUCAGUUCAGAUGCAGCUGGGCAGUCUACAGCCAGGCUCUGAGGAGGAGGAGGAUGCCAGAGCAGCGCCACUCCAAGUGAGGUGUGGAGAGAAGCAACAGCCUGGGAGAGCCUUUCAAAAUCCAGGAAAACAAAAAGCACAGGAAUCAAGAGUAAAAAGAGUGGGCAAAGAGACCGAUGGGCUGAGUGGACAAUAAACUGGGUGUGUGGAAGGCCACUGAAAACAGAGCAUCUUCACAGACAGGCAGGAGGUGCAAGGAGGGGCCAUGUAGUCUUCUGAGAGAAGAGGGUUCUACGCAGGAGGAAGGCUUCCCAGAUAGGGGCAAGCCUGAUGCUUCCAGAGCAAUGCAAGGCUGCAACAGAGAGCGCAUGCAGAGAACGGGGUCCUGAGAGACAUGGGAUCACAUGGGGCUUUAGACUAACAUAAGAAUGUUGGCUUUCUCUGGGGGACAUGUUGGAGAAGUCUCAGUCCUGCUACUGUACUGGGAAUCCGCUCCAGUAGGAUUGGACUGGACUGGAGAAGGCUCAAAAGGAAAACCUCCAGAGAAGCUACUCCAACUGUAGCCAAGUCUAGUGACUCACGCCUACAACCUCAGCUCUCAGGAAAGAAGCUGAGGCAGGAGGAUAGAAAGCUUAAGUCCAGCAUGGGCAACAGUGUGAGACCUGUCUCAAGAAGAUAAACAAAGAGGUGGUGGUGCUGGUGGUGCUGGUGUUGAUGGUGGUGG